rnacentral:rRNA from 1 species
UACGGAGGGUGCGAGCGUUGUCCGGAAUCAUUGGGCGUAAAGGGCGCGUAGGUGGCCUGGUAAGCGUGCGGUGAAAGCCUGGGGCUCAACCCCGGGUCUGCCGUGCGAACUGCUAGGCUUGAGCACUGUAGAGGCAGGCGGAAUUCCGGGUGUAGCGGUGGAAUGCGUAGAGAUCCGGAAGAACACCGGUGGCGAAGGCGGCCUGCUGGGCAGUGCUGACACUGAGGCGCGACAGCGUGGGGGAGCAAACAGG